UACAAUGAUAUAGUAACUGACGGAUAUAGCAGAUAUAUUAUUACAUGAAAGUUAUUGUAACUGAUACUGCAAACUGAAGAAGAGGCAGGAAGAUACUUUGCACAGGUGACGUUACUGCAAACUCAACAGGUGCUACAGGAGAAUCUAGGUUGGAAGUUGAACGGUUUCACCUCAUAUACAAAAUCUUGCUAUCGUGAGAUCGCAGGGGCUUUGAUAGUUUAUGAUAUCACCAGGCCUCGUACCUUUGAAAACGUUGGAAUGCAGACAAAAACGCAAAGUGCAGACAAGAAACGGUAAUUUACAAAGUUUAAUUAUUUUCACAAAAGGUGACUUGAAAGAGGUCCGCGAGGAAGAUGCAAAUAGAAAGAUUUGCAGGAAGAUUGUUCAAUACGAGUAAUAAGACCGUUGGGAGAAUGGACAAGAAGUGCGACAAAUGCCAGAAAUCUUGCAACAAGUCUGUCAUAAUAACAGAUGGAA